CUGGGGAACAGGUAGUCGCACGAUGAUUUCAUAGAGAGAACCAAUACAAAAUACCCACUGAACAGUGCAAACAGACAAAAAAUUCGUAUGGCAAUAAUGCUUUCGGUAACGCUUGAACGACUUCGAGGGAAGGAGCAAGUUCCGCACCAAUUGCUGUCGAUUGAAUGGAGAGCGUGGAGGGAGGAAUGGAUUGCGGGAGGCAGUGUGGAAAACUUUUCCCAGCAAAAGAUAACUCAAGCGAGGAGAUCAUCUCAUGCACACCUUUCCAUAGAAUGGAAUGCCUAGACCCAGUGCCUAUAAUCUGCCCAUAACAUAACCAAUUACCAUCGCAAAUGGGCUUAGCCGUAAAUCUGUCACCAAUCAAAUGAAAAAAUCAUUUUUAUGGCACAGAGAAAUAGCUCAAAUCACAUGCAAAACACAAAAAACACAAAAAAAAAACAAAACCGACAAGCCAUCAAACAAAAAAGUCAUAAACGCCUCCAGCGAUAUCUGAGGUCUGAUUGAAGCUGCAAAUGGAAAUGGAAAUGGCGCAUGUAAAUCGCAAUUAGGAAUCAUUUUAUUGUGCUUUAUGGAUACAGCAUUUUUACAUCAGGCUGUAACCGAAUCAAUUAUUCAACAAUUGAUUGGACAUUCUGGGCAAACAAAUUAUUUAUGAAUAUCGAUGCCAGCAGUUUCUGGCCGGGAUGUGGAUCCUUUGUCUUGUGUGUGCCGCUGUCAAGUGUCGGACGGAGGGCGAGCGGAGGCGGCAGGGUCGUUUGACAUUCUUGGGACAAGAAAGAAACAAAGACUUAACGUCCCAGAAUGCGUAUGAGAUAUUUAUUUCAAUUUGUCACUGGCUGAAUGUGGUUGAAUCGUUUUUGGCUUGACUUGAAACGGAAAUGCCACAAUGGGCAUGGUUCGAGUGGAGUGGUUUUCAGAGAGUGUUUCUGUGGGAACUAGGAGCUGAUUGAGAACAGCAACUAAAGCUAAUACGAAUGAAUGGUUUCCAAUCCAUAGUUGGUUUAUUUCUACCCAUUCUGCCAGCUUCAUUUGUACGUACCUGAUAAAUUGCACUCACAUUCGUUGACAGCCGUACAAAUCGACUUUGGAAACCGCAAAAAGCACUCAAAAUUCUCGGAAAUAUUUUCAAUUAACACUUGGAAAGAUUAUUCAGAAGUUUGAAGGCGGCACGCGCUCUCUGUUCUGUUUAAUAUUUCGAAAAAUAUGUACGCAUAUGUAGCAUCAUUAAUCAUCGGUUUUCAGCCAGUUUCAAGAUCAUUUAGCCUGCGAUGCCCAAUCUGUAAGUUCUGGCCUUUCAACAUCCAGAUACUCGUAUGAGCGACCAAUUUGCAUAUUUUUUGGAUGAUAUCUCAGGGCACACAUACAGAAUUCUACAAUAAAAAUCUUUGAUUUCUGUGUGAUGUGUGUGCAUCGUUCGAUUUUUGAGUUUGAGUUUCGUUUUGGCCUGGGUGGCGUUGUGUGGGAAAAUCCACAUGGGGUUUUCGUUCAUUAAUUUGCUUUUCCCCACGAUAAACAAGCACGAACUUGUUAUAUUGAUGUUAUGAAUGUGAUUCUGAUUGCCGGUUGUUUGUUUGUUUUAAGCGGGAGAGGAGAGCGGAGGAAGAAAUGGA
rnacentral:sRNA from 1 species